rnacentral:rRNA from 1 species
UACGGAGGGUGCAAGCGUUAUCCGGAAUCAUUGGGUUUAAAGGGUCCGUAGGCGGAUUGAUAAGUCAGAGGUGAAAUCCCACAGCUUAACUGUGGAACUGCCUUUGAAACUGUUAGUCUUGAGUUAUAUGGAAGUAGAUAGAAUGUGUAGUGUAGCGGUGAAAUGCAUAGAGAUUACACAGAAUACCGAUUGCGAAGGCAGUCUACUACGUAUAUACUGACGCUAAUGGACGAAAGCGUGGGGAGCGAACAGGAUUAGAUACCCCCGUA